rnacentral:rRNA from 1 species
UGUUCGAGCGCCAUUACAAACUCCAAGCUCUGCUUGAUGUUGGAUGCUGUCUUUGCGGAAGUGAAGACACAUCUGGAACGUGUGGGCGCCGCCGCCAGACCACGAGCGUAGCAAGACGAAAGUCAAUCGUUCGAUUUGGAUCUGUCUGUGGUAGUCUGUAUGUCUGUCGGAGUCUGGUCUUUGGAAUUCUGAAGAACAGACAACGUGACAACACCAAAAGUUUGGCCUCGGAUCAGGCGGGGAUACCCGCUGAACUUAAGCAUAUCAAUAAGCGGAGGAAAAGAAACCAACCGGGAUUGCCCCAGUAACGGCGAGUGAAGCGGCAACAGCUCAAAUUUGAAAUCUGGGGUCUUGCGGCCUCCGAGUUGUAGUUUGCAGAGGGAGCCUCGGAGGGCUUGUCGGUCCAAGUGCCUUGGAACAGGAUACCGCAGAGGGUGAGAGUCCCGUAUCCGGCCGACGUAGCGCUCCGUGUGAGGCCUCUUCGACGAGUCGAGUUGUUUGGGAAUGCAGCUCCAAGCGGGUGGUAAAUUCCAUCUAAAGCUAAAUACUGGCCAGAGACCGAUAGCGAACAAGUAGAGUGAUCGAAAGAUGAAAAGCACUUUGAAAAGAGAGUCAAACAGUACGUGAAAUUGUUGAAAGGGAAGCGCAUGGGGGCAGACUUGGCCGUGGGGUUCAGGGUGUCUAUUUUGGCGCCUGUAUUUCCCCGCGGACAGGCCAGCAUCGGUUCCGGGGGCCGGACAAAGGCGACGGGAACGUGGCUCUCCUCGGAGAGUGUUAUAGCCCGACGUGCAAUGCGGCCACCUGGGAACCGAGGACCGCGCCUUGUGCAAGGAUGCUGGCGUAAUGGCCUCAUGCGGCCCGUCUGAACACACGGACCC